AAAAAACUGAAAAAGCUCUCCCCUCUCCCUCUGGCCGAAGCCUAGAAUCCGGCAAGGGGGACCGCUGUGGCUCAGCCGCCCCUCCGCCGUGGACGGUGGUCAAACGCCCCAGGUAAGUUUUCGUCCUCCCUUUUCUAUAUAUAUACGAGAUAUAUAUAUACAGUUUUUCUUUUUAAACUAAAGGAAAAUAAAGAAAUUUUUUAAUAUGAACAGUUUCAAAAACUAGAAAAUAAAGAAAAUAAAAAUGACCUUUGCACGUUUCUACUUUGUUUUUUUCUUCAAUCUGCUUUGAUGCUUUUUGUUGUUUUUAUACUUGAAUCUGUUUUUUAUUGUAUUCAAGAAAAAUCCCCCUGGGAAAAAAACUACAAUGGUUUAUCAUGGCUUAUGUAGCCAUUUUACAAAACUUUAAUCUGUUUUUGUAUAUUUGCUGUCACUUUUGAUUUUGGUCUUUGUAGGUGGUGGUGCAAGUGGAGGGCGGUGCUGACAAAGGUGGUAGAGGUGGCACAGUCGGUGGCAGAUCUAUGGGAGUUAGGGGCAGCACGGACUAGGGUUUCUUUUGUUUUUCUAUUUUUUUGGGUAUUAGGCUAAUUGGGCUUGAAUUGGGAAAUUUUGGUUUUGGGCCUAUCUAAUUUUUGUUGGGUUUGUAAUUGGUUGUAUUGGGUUUUAGUUUUUUUAUGGGCCCUGGCAGAAUUGGCCCACAACAAUAUCAAAUUAGAACAUAUAAAGACAAUUUAGUAAGACUUUCGAGGGAGCAAAUUUAAAAUAAAUUUGAUAGGGUUUGGUGUAGAAACGAAGUUUCCAUGAUUUUAAAUUUUAUCUUAAUAAAAUCAUAUUGUUG
rnacentral:lncRNA from 1 species